GCCGCCGUAGCUCAGUUGGUAGAGCGUCCGCCUUGUAAGCGGAGGGUCGGGAGUUCGAGUCUCUCCGGCGGCACCA
rnacentral:tRNA from 1 species